UGUUUCUGUUUGUUUGUUUGUUUUUGUAUUUGUUUUGGUUUUUGUAUUUUACCUAUCUAUUUGGUUCUUUGCUGAUCACCGCUCCCAAUAUGAUGUCCAGGACGACUCUCCAAUCGUUGGCACCUAGUCACGAGCACAAGUCAGGCACGUCCACUCUCAAUGACUAACUGAGCAUAUAUCAAUAUCUUAAAAUCUUAAAAUAAUAUGUGAAAGACUAGUACGCACUUCGACUUUAAGGUCUAUUGCGCUCUAUAAUCCUCACAAUAACUUAUCCAGACCCAACGGUUUCAACCUAAAAUGGUACUGGGCUAGGCUGAGCGUGCUUCAUUUCCAGAUAUAUCAAUCCGAGCUGUUUACUUCUUCUUUUCAAUAUGACAACGAGGUGUAAGCGGUAUGGCGGCUCUGGGUACGAGUCGCAGUAUCGACAAGAGAUGGUAGAUCAUAUUCCGAGUCGGGUUUCGUCGUCUGCGGUUGCAUGUGAGAAUGAGAAUGCCUGGCCGAAUGGGUUGAUGCGUGACUACCAUGCGGAAUCAAGAGAGACGCCUCUCGGCAGGCAAUGGUAAACCUCCGAGUGUAUUUCUGGCAUGAAAAAACGCCUCUUAAAAUGAAAAAAUAUCUGCCGUUUGGAGUCAGCUUGAAAAUCUAGGUCCCUCCAUUUGUGGAACAACAUCAAGACGCUCACCACAAAUAGGAGGAGAAGCUCAGCCAAACACCCAAAAAGGG